rnacentral:lncRNA from 1 species
AGUACCAGGCAGGCUGUGGAGUAAGGAAGGACCACAGCAGAGUAAAGCAAUGGAGACCGAGGUCUCAGAAACCCUCAGGGAAGUUGGCAUUUUAACUGGUCUUUGAAGACCAGAUGAGGAAACUGAGGCUGAGAGGGUAGAGAACUUUGCCUGAGGUCACUCAGCAGGGACCCACCCAUCACAGUAAAUGCCAGCACUGCUGAUGCCAAAACAAUGUUAUUUGUAGGCCCUCGGAAUUUGUGACCUGAAGGAAGAAGAGCAGGGCCGUGGGAAGUAUGUAACCAGUGUCAUGCCCCUGGUCCCAAGGAAGCAGUGGCUUGGCCUGAACACCCUGUCCUACCUGGUCCUACCUGGAUGCUGGCCUCAGUAAGCUCCUGGGCUCAUUGAAGAUGAACCUAGCAGUAGUAUUUACACCACUUGUUGUGUGCCCACUGUGGGCCCGGCGCCAUGCCGAGUGCUCUAUGGAUGUGAGAGAAACGGAGGCCCAGAAAGCAGAAAUGAUGUGUUAAGAUCACUCAUCAAGCUGAUGGUACAGAGUGCUGGGAGAGAAAAGCAUACGACAUAGACAGGGAGGUCAAGCUCCACCACGCAGAUGAGGUGCAGGCCACCAGUCUUCCUCUGCCACAUCUCUUUCUGAAAAGGACUUCACAUUCACCCUUGCAAUCCAUGUGGGGACACUGUUGGAUAGGAGGCGUGGUCCCAGCGUGGUCUCCCUGUCUGGGCCUCUGCCUAUGCCAAAUGUUUGCCUUACGCUGCACACUCAAGAGGUUCCAUGUAUACAGAUGGGAAUUCCAGAGCUACAGAAAAGGCAGCAAGCACCAUGAUUUAAGCUAACCAGUGUGGAUUCACACCUUCCUCUCUCUCUAUCAGUGGCAGAACUACCAGCUAGAGUAAGAAGUGGUUGAUCCAGGACCUAAACAUUCUGGAAACUCUUGCCCACUUCUGGGAGAAAUGACCCAAUCCAUAGUACUAAGCACACCUUAACUUUCGUAGGACGCAGGCAAGUUGUCAUACCGUGUGCCUAAAUAUAGAAAAAUGAUCCACUGGACUAAUAAAGUGUUAAAUAAAA